rnacentral:lncRNA from 1 species
GAUUCAGAGCAUAGAGUCUGUCAUGGCCGGAAGUCGCCGGAAAAAGUUGAGCGGAGCCGAUGGAAUACGAUGUCGGAGCUUAGGGUGCCUCAUGAAGUAGUAACCGGAGAGGAGAGCAAAGAGCUUAAAAGGUGUUAUGUAGAGAACCAUUGCAACGAUGAAACAGAACGUCACAAAUAUUGCGGUAGCGCGUGGAUCACGCCAGCUCAGCAGAGCCUGCACGCGCUCUCCCUGUGCCGCUAUGUCUCCAACCACCGUCUGUAUCUUCCCCGCCACAAUUCUCAGCCGAUCAUACCUGUUAAACAACCGUGUUAGAGGUUCCAGGUUCGAGAGACCAUAGGGACGAAACUAAUAUUACAUUUAUUGUUUCGGGUCGGGAGGAUUACUAGCUUCGGUCCCGAACCUCAUAGUAUUCAAAAAAAUAAAUUAAGUAAAUAACUUGAUGAGUUACCUCAUUUUGACAAUGUCUGGAGCCUUCAUGGUCGGGAAGAUAUCAAACUCUUCGUCGAGCUCAUCAGCAUUCACACUCUCCGCGUAAGACAGUUUGGUAUCCAUAUGAGGAGGAAACCUCGGCCUAAUCCUGUAGUUCCACAACCCAAUCACAGCCAUAUACAGAAACACAGUCGGCAAAAUCAUCUCCGGGAACAUCACAAGCAUCGUGUACAACACAUGCACAAGCCCCGUCGUCACCGGCGUCCUCCAGCUGCAAACUUCUCCCAUCCAUUUCCACACCGACAUCACUCCCGAGAACACCGCGGUGAACCUAAAGAAGUUAGCCUUGCUUCUCCUCAUGCUGAAGAGAUGAGUCUUGGCAUCCGUCAUGUACUCGACAACUUCGCGUCUAAGCGGCGGCUCCGACCGUCCUAAGCGAGCCACGAUUAUGUUGAGAGCCUGGACUCUAAGAAUUUCUUGUAGGUUUACGGAUAAAGGCUGCGUGUAAUGCAUUUUAGGCAAGAGAGGUUUGGUGUAUUUCAUCAGCGUGUUGGAGACGGAUGUGCAGGUGAACCUCACUGCUAAGUGAAGCUCGCCUCUUUUCUUGAGACCAGAUGGGGUUAGAACUAGUAAAGGGUACGCGUUCGUGUAUACGCGGCCCGUCUGAAGAGUAGAGAGUCUGAUACGGACUUUCCCAAUGGUCUGAUCUCUGCCAUUUCCAGAUGAAAAGUGACCGUUGUCGAAUACGCAGAUGGUUAAGACCGUCGCGGGGUCUAAAACCUCCCAUGUGUACUGCUCAUUGUACUUUGGAUUCAAGCUGUUGAUCACAGUUCUCGACCGAACCCACUUGUGACCGUACUUGGCAACAACGUACGUGUCCGAAGUACCUUUCCCGUCUCGGUUUUUAACCGGGUGGAGCCCGUUUGCGUUGAGUAUCCCAAGCUCCAAGACACCGAUCGCUUGUUUCCAGAGCUGUCUCGCCGUUGGCCUUAGAUCGCUGCUGUAGUAAGUAGACUCGUCAAAGACAUGGUAGCCUCCUUCAAGAACCGCAGCCACGUGGAGCCUAGUAGCGAACUUUACUCUCUUGGCUUUGUCCUCAUCCAUAGCGUCUGAGAUCGAGUCUUCGAGAUGAAACCAACGGCUACGGAACGCUCUAUCAUCAUUACGUCUCUCGAUAGCGGAGAGAGGGAUCACAGCUUUGCCUACAGGCUCGUCUCUGUUGGCUGCGGAGUGGUCUUCCACCGAGAGGACCAGGUGUUCCUCAAACGGCUCCGCGACUACGAACAUGAACUCAUUGUCCCAUCUCGGAUGAAAGCUUCUUUGAGCCACUUUAGUCUUUAACAUCUGGUUACCGACCUGGAUUCUCACAAAGGCUUCAGGGAGACGUGACUUGUCGGAGACUAUGAUCACGUCUUGAGCCUCUAUUAUCUUCACCCUUAGGUACCAUAGCCGAGGGGAAUGGUAGACCUUGGACCGGAGGUUAGCGGAGAUAAUGUCGGAGCUGUCUGAAGAUGUUAACGAGUCUGAGAAGACAGCAUCACCGAAGGCUUCAUCAGCUUGAGUACCUUCCCAAACAGCAAGCAUGAUCUCAGCUCUCUUCUUCUCACCUCUCUUGUUCUCAAGUCUAUACCACUCUGGAGCUAAAGGACUAUCCGGAGGGACACGAGAUUGAACCUCAUUGAGAUCAAACCGGACAGUGCCAACGUAAUCAUCUAGGACAAGGUCUUUAUCCUUGACGACUAUUUCGAGAACGUUGGACUGAAGAUUCUCUUUAGCAAAUGCAAAGACUUGGUUCCACUCCGGAUCCGAGUUCUUGUCCAAAUGUCUUGUAACUCCUUUGAAGUUUCCUAUUUUUACUUCCACGUAAGGGUCUAGGCUUCCCGUUAGGUCUCUGUCGGGGAGAUCACGCGCCUUCACGACUCUCACGAAGAGAAACCUCAUCUCUUCGACGAGAUCGUAUGUGCCUACGGGCCUCUGCGUACCACGAACUAUUCGUCCUCCAAUGAUCCGUCCACCUCCGAGGAAAGGGCUCGUCUCUUUCACAGUGAAAUCUGAUGAUGGGCCUGGGCCGUUGUGAAGAAGAUGAAAGAGUUCUAUAUAGAGACAUAUAUAUGUUUGUUUGAAUCCUCACGAAACACGAUUCAGAGCAUAGAGUCUGUCAUGGCCGGAAGUCGCCGGAAAAAGUUGAGCGGAGCCGAUGGAAUGCGGUGUCGGAGCUUAGGGUGCCUCAUGAAGUAGUAACCGGAGAGGAGAGCAAAGAGCUUAAAAGGUGUUAUGUAGAGAACCAUUGCAACGAUGAAACAGAACGUCACAAAUAUUGCGGUAGCGCGUGGAUCACGCCAGCUCAGCAGAGCCUGCACGCGCUCUCCCUGUGCCGCUAUGUCUCCAACCACCGUCUGUAUCUUCCCCGCC